AUUGAACGCUGGCGGCAGGCCUAACACAUGCAAGUCGAACGAGUGGCGGACGGGUGAGUAAUGUCUGGGAAACUGCCUGAUGGAGGGGGAUAACUACUGGAAACGGUUGCUACUACCGCAUACCAUCAGAUGUGCCCUGAUGGGAUUAGCUUGUUGGUGGGGUAACGGCUCACCAAGGCGACGAUCCAUAGCUGGUCUGAGAGGAUGACCAGCCACACUGGAACUGGGAAACGGUCCAACAACCUACGGGAGGCAGCAGUGGGGAAUAUGGGACAAUGGGCGGAAGCCGGAUGCAGCCAUGCGGCGUGUAUGAAGAAGGCCUUCGGGUUGGAAAGUACUUUCAGCGGGGAGGCGUUACCCGCAGAAGAAGCACCGGCUAACGCCGUGCCAGCAGCCGCGGUAAUUC
rnacentral:rRNA from 1 species